AUUGAACGCUGGCGGCGUGCUUAACACAUGCAAGUCGAGCGGUAACAGGUGUAGCAAUACAUGCUGACGAGCGGCGAACGGGUGAGUAAUGCUUCGGAAUCUACCCAAUGGUGUGGAAUAACCAGCCGAAAGGUUGGCUAAUACCGCAUGAGCCCUACGGGGGAAAGCAGGGGAUCGUAAGACCUUGCGCCGAUGGAUGAGCCGAAGUCGGAUUAGCUAGUUGGUAGGGUAACGGCCUACCAAGGCGACGAUCCGUAGCUGGUCUGAGAGGACGACCAGCCACACUGGGACUGCGACACGGCCCAGACUCCUACGGGAGGCAGCAGUGGGGAAUAUUGGACAAUGGGGGAAACCCUGAUCCAACGACGCCGCGUGUGUGAAGAAGGCCUGCGGGUUGUAAAGCACUUUUAGUGGGGAUGAAAAAUUCAGGGCUAAUAUCCCUGGGUCUUGACCUAACCCAAAGAAAAAGCACCGGCUAACUCUGUGCCAGCAGCCGCGGUAAUACAGAGGGUGCGAGCGUUAAUCGGAAUUACUGGGCGUAAAGCGUGCGUAGACGGUUAGAUAAGUCGGGUGUGAAAGCCCCGGGCUCAACCUGGGAAUUGCAUUCGAGACUGUUUAGCUAGGGUACGGAAGAGGGAAGCGGAAUUUCAGGUGUAGCGGUGAAAUGCGUAGAUAUCUGAAGGAACACCAGUGGCGAAAGCGGCUUCCUGGUCCAGUACCGACGUUCAGGCACGAAAGCGUGGGGA
rnacentral:rRNA from 1 species